GUUGAUAGGCCGGGUGUGUAAGCGCAGCGAUGCGUUGAGCUAACCGGUACUAAUGACCCGUGAGGCUUAACCUUA
rnacentral:rRNA from 1 species